rnacentral:sRNA from 1 species
GCGCCGCUCAUUGGGGAGUAGCCGCUCCGCUCGAUGUCCCGCGCCCCCGGCGCGCAUCGUGACGGAGGCGUCCGUCAACAGACUUGGCCGUUCGGCCAUGGCGGACGCAGCCACGUUGGCCUGGCGAGACCGAUGGUUCACUG